UCUUGUUCCCGAUCAUGUCUAUAAAUACUCAUAAGAAUCAAGUAUAAAAUAAUUAAUUAAUAAAUAAAUCCCAUUACUGUUCUGCUACAAGAAUCCAUUAAACCAUGUUAAGUAAGAAUAUACCCAGUUCAGAUUGAUGGUAAAUUAUCAACUCAAAAUAACAUGGACGCAAUAUGGGAAAUAGAAAUUCAAGAUUGAAUGGAAGAGCCUACCGAUUUAGGGAAUGCCCAGAAGAACAACACCGAUUGUUGAUAUCAAUUUGAAGGUUCUUGAUAUAUACGAACAGCCUAUCGAUUAUGUUGUUCAAGAAAGUUAGAUGUGGGUCUAAAUGAACUGGGUGUGCCUGAUCUUGUGAAGAAUAUGUGGUUUUUUUAUUUUUAUUUUUUUAAUUAUAGGGAUAAUUUGGUCAUUUAAUAAAA
rnacentral:lncRNA from 1 species